rnacentral:pre_miRNA from 1 species
UUUGGGGGAAGUAGUGGUCCGUUAGGUUGGUGAAAAAGACAUCAUCCCUUGAGGUAAAAGUAGGUUUGCUUCCUUUUACUCCAAAAAUCUUUUUACCGUGAGUAAAAAGAAUCAUCAUGGGGGUAUAAAAGGAACCAAAUUUAAAUUUAACUCGAGGUAUCUUGAUGUCGUUUUCCCCAACAGGACAGUUCACUAUUUUCCCCAAG